UUUCUCUUUCUCUCUCUAAAACCCCCAAUUCAAUCUCAUUUUUUCUUCCAAAAUGGUCAAAAUUCACUCCCCAAUCUUGAAUUUGGCAGAUCAAAACUCACAAUUUCGGUAGUACCAACAAUGAAUUGGAUUUUGCUACAAAAAUAAUGAGAUCGUCAAGCUGCAGUGGUGGUGGUUCAUUUCAUCUGGAGAAAGGUGUCCUUUGUGGAUGACAACUGUACCAAAACGGUUCAAAACCAGCUU
rnacentral:lncRNA from 1 species